rnacentral:rRNA from 1 species
CAUUCGAUGAAGACCGUAGCGAGUUGCGAUAAGCGAUGUGAUAUGCGAGUCCCAAACUGAUACGUGAACCAUCGGAUCGUCGAACGCACUGCACCGAGGAUUGCCCAUCCACGGUAUACCACAUUGAGUGUCAUUAUUCGUUCGUCUCUGACGAGUUCGGGGUCCACGGCCUUGCCGCGUUCCCUCAGAUCGAAGUCUAUGGCGUCAACCUGACCUUGCUGGUGUCGGUCGAGCCCCCUUUGACUGAGUUCACUGGGUACGCUCCGUCUGCAUCACGGGUCGGUCUGACCGGGACGCUUGCGUCCAAUCAUUCUCUAAUGAUGACCUCACGGUGGUAAGAUUACCCGCUAAACUUAAGCAUAUUAAUCAGCGGAGGAAAAGAAACUAACAAGGAUUCCCUUAGUAACUGCGAGUGAACAGGGAUGAGCUCAAUGUGUGAAUCUUACCGUCCUCGUGGGUGGUUGAGAGUUGUGCACUAUGAACGUUGUGUCUGCGCUUGCAGGCCGGUGGCCAAAGUCCGGAAGGAUACGGCACUAGAGAGGGUUAUAGUCCUGUUCUCGCCAUCCGGUCCUGUGCGUCUAUGACCAGCGCUUCUCGAGUCGGAUAGUUUUGUAUUGCUGUCCCAAUGGGAGGUUGAUCCCUUCCAAAGCUAAAUAUUUAUGGCAUGACCGAUAGUAGACAAGUACCGCGAGGGAAAGGUGAAAAAGCAACCAUGAAGAAUGGGUUGAAACAGCAGUGAAAGUGCUACUGGGAUAAGGGCUCAUGGCGGCUGGUGCCGUAGGGGCGUGCUUUAGUGCUGCACCUGUGGACGGCCUGCGGGGAUGGAGACUUGGAGAUGUGGGCCAUGGGGAUGCACCUCCUUCUGGAGGCUUGAACCCGUGGUUCUGCGCGCCAUGCAGCCAUCUUUAUACCUACCUGGUAGUAGCAGGUCUUGUCGCCAUUAGCCGCCCGUCUUGAAACACGGACCAAGGAGUGCACCUUGCAUGCGAGUCUAAGGGAUUGGAAUCCUGGAGGCGUAGCGAAAGCGAAGCUGCGAACGUGUCAAAGCGGGCUGCGGCGCCCCCUGAGAGGGGAGGUUGAGCAUGUAGGGUGCGACCCGAAAGAUGGUGAACUAUGCCCGGGGAAGGUGAAGCCAGUGGAAACGCUGGUGGAGGCCUGUAACGGUUCUGACGUGCAAAUCGAUCGUGUCACCUGGGUAUAGGGGCGAAAGACCUAACGAACCGUCUAAUGGCUGGUUCCCUCCGAAGUUUCCCUCAGGAUAGCUGUGUUCCAUCGCAGUCAGUUGCAUGUAGUAAAGCGAAUGAUUAGGUGUCCUGGGAUCCUCUGUGAUCUUGGCUCAUUCUCAAACUCUGAACGCGUGCUAGCCCCGGGUGACCUAAAGGCACACGGUGGUGAAAUGACCGGACACAAGUGGGCUGGUU